rnacentral:rRNA from 1 species
UACGUAGGGUGCAAGCGUUAAUCGGAAUUACUGGGCGUAAAGGGUUCGUAGGCGGUUCGUUAAGUCUGUCGUGAAAUCCCCGGGCUCAACCUGGGAAUGGCGAUGGAUACUGGCGAGCUAGAGUGUGUCAGAGGAUGGUGGAAUUCCCGGUGUAGCGGUGAAAUGCGUAGAGAUCGGGAGGAACAUCAGUGGCGAAGGCGGCCAUCUGGGACAACACUGACGCUGAAGCACGAAAGCGUGGGGAGCAAACAGG